rnacentral:misc_RNA from 1 species
UCCGAGUUGACCCCGGCAGUCUCCCAUGAGUCCCCAGCACCCCGAAGGGCCCGCUGGCAACAUGGAACGAGGGUUGCGCUCGUUGCGGGACUUAACCCAACAUCUCACGACACGAGCUGACGACAGCCAUGCACCACCUGUACACCAGUAUCAAAGAGACCCCUAUCUCUAGAGGCUUCCGGCGUAUGUCAAACCCAGGUAAGGUUCUUCGCGUUGCAUCGAAUUAAUCCGCAUGCUCCGCCGCUUGUGCGGGCCCCCGUCAAUUUCUUUGAGUUUUAACCUUGCGGCCGUACUCCCCAGGCGGAUGACUUAACGCGUUAGCUGCGCCACCGAAACCCUAAGGGCCCCGACAGCUAGUCAUCAUCGUUUACGGCGUGGACUAC